GCAGGACAAAGGGCUAUUCAUCACGCUCCAAAGUGCUGCAAAGGGCUCCCGUGUUCCACCGGAGAAGUGCCUGCAUUCGAAUCCAAGCAAGAAAGUUUUCUCCCUGUGCUUGAGGCCACUCCAGAGAGUAAAUGGAGCUUGGCGCCGCUUUAGGAUCCUUUUGGAGGAGAUAUAGGGGCAAGCAUCUUGUCAUGCGCUGCUCAGCCUCCAGCAAAUCUGGCCUUUCUCAGCCUUGGAAAUCUGUGGAAAGCUCAAGAAGGGAAAACCAACUUCUGCCUGCAGAUGAACAUCCACUUGAAGUAGAUGACAUGCUGGAAAACAUCCCAAAGUCAUGAGUCUGCAUCUGAGACACAAAGAAAGUCAUUCUAGAUACCUAUAGUUCACGUGAGGCAGCUCAAGUCAACGGGGAAGGCUUUUUCUCCAACCUGUGCCGAGGCCAGGGGCUGAGGCUGGGCCCAUCUGGAGCUGGCAGCCCUCAGAUCCGAGGAGGGAUCUGAUGAAAGCAUCUCCUUCGCAAUAAAUUCUUCUAUCAUGGUGUGGGAUGUGGCACCGCCAGCCUGCGCCAUGUGUUUGGGAAGGCCACACUUGCCAGAUGCGUGGGUCAGAGAAGAGAAUGAAGAGCAACGGCGCUGCGAGGAGACUUUGUGGCUGAGGCGAGAGGGAAAGAUCUCCCUGGGGACUCCAGCGGAAGGGCGACCCCACUGCCACCCGGGGAGCGGGGCUGAUGUGGGGACAGCGUGGGCAGUCAGAGCCGCAGAGGCAUGGAGGCACUGGGGGGCUGUGGGGAGAGAGGAAGGUUGGAUGUGGGGCCAUGGGAAGGCUGAGAGGCGCAGGGCUGAGGCGCAGGGCUGAGGGGCUCAGGGCUGAGGGCAGGCUGCUGCGGGCCGGGGCCUGAGCGGGGGCUGAGGCGACACGCAGCGCGGCGCACGGCAGCCGGCGAGGGGCCCCGCACGCCAGACCCCCGCGGGGCCGCCGCUCCGCGAAGGCCCA